UACGGAGGGGGCGAGCGUUGUCCGAAGUUACUGGGCGUAAAGGGCGCGUAGGCGGUUCGUACAGUCAGACGUGAAAUUCCUGGCUCAACCUGGGGGCUGCGUUUGAUACGUGCGGACUUGAGUGCGGAAGAGGGUCGUGGAAUUCCCAGUGUAGAGGUGAAAUUCGUAGAUAUUGGGAAGAACACCGGUGGCGAAGGCGGCGACCUGGUCCGAUACUGACGCUGAGGCGCGAAAGCGUGGGGAGCAAACAGG
rnacentral:rRNA from 1 species